rnacentral:tRNA from 1 species
AGCAGCGUAGCUCAGUGGAAAGAGCCCGGGCUUGGGAGUCAGAGGUCAUGGGUUCGAUUCCCGGCUCUGCCA